AUACGGAGGGGGUUAGCGUUGUUCGGAAUUACUGGGCGUAAAGCGCACGUAGGCGGAUUAAAAAGUUAGAGGUGAAAUCCCAGGGCUCAACCCUGGAACUGCCUUUAAAACUAGUAGUCUAGAGUUCGAGAGAGGUGAGUGGAAUUCCAAGUGUAGAGGUGAAAUUCGUAGAUAUUUGGAGGAACACCAGUGGCGAAGGCGGCUCACUGGCUCGAUACUGACGCUGAGGUGCGAAAGCGUGGGGAGCAAACAGGAUUAGAAACCCUUGUAGUCC
rnacentral:rRNA from 1 species